rnacentral:tRNA from 1 species
GUACAGGGUCUACCUGCGGUGGUAGGGCUGGCCUGCAACACCAGCGGCAGCCGGUUCGACUCCGGUCCUGUACU